UAGGAGCAAAUGAGCAGCGGCAGAAAGGAGGAGUAGAGGGGAGAUACAUGAAAGUGAAAGGGAAGAGAGAAGAUUUUUUGGUGUCUUAUUCGUUGAAAGGCUAAGGUAGGUCGCGGUGAGGCUAGCCUUCAGCUGGUAAGCCGUAGUUGCACACUUUCCUCUCAUUCAAUAUCUUCUUCUUUUGUAAAUAAAGACAAAUCAGUGAUGGGUUUUGUAGGUUGGGUAAAGAAGAGUAGUUGAAACUCCUAUGAAUCACCUCGCCAAGGGUAAGAGUAAUUUAUACUCUAAAUGCCUACAUUUAAGCUAAUAUAUUUGAUUUAGAUAAUUAUUUAUUAUAGGAUCAUAAAUAAUAAGGAUUGAUUAUUUUGGAUACUAUUUAAGGAAUAUGUGAUGACUGAGCGAAACUUGAAUUGGUUGUGUUAUGUGAUGAAGAUGGCAGCUGGAAUUAAAUGUGAAAUGCAAUUAAGGUUUUCAAAGGUUGAAGAAGAUGAAAGGGGCUCCAAGUAGGUUGGGUUGAUUGUACCUGUGAGGCAUAGGCUCGGUUUACCCUAACGGGUCCAAGCCCAUAAGGAUUUGUAGGAAAGGCUUAGUAAUUAAUUUGGAAGAGCAAAAUGAAAUUGAAAUGAAAGGGUAAAAUAUAUAUAAAUAUAUAACAAAUAUGUAACCUAUAGAGAAAGUCAAGUAUAUGAAGUUCAUAAGUAAAGUGGGCCUAGUGAGGGGUCCAAACUUUUAGUGGAUUGAAUCUAAUGAAAGGAAAAAUAAAUAAACAUGUAAAGAGGGAAAAGAAAGCCCAGCUCGAAUGGGUUGAGCCCGUAGGAAGAAUAAAGGAAUUCCAGUGGUGAAUUGGGACAAACCUGAAGAAAUUAAGCAAAAAAAGAAGAAAAUUAAAUCUAGUGGGUCUAGCCUAUAGGAAGGGGAUAAGAGUAAUUAAAAUUACUGUGAGCCCAGCCCUUAGGAAUGGGUUAAGACAGAAGGAUAAAAUUUAGUUUGAGGGGUUACAUUAAUUCAAAACAAACGGAGAUAGGAAAGAAUUAGUAAUAUUGAGAAAUUAACAAAUGAGUUGUUUCAUUGGGCUUCUAGCCCAUAAGCAAAUAAAGUAAAGUUGAAUGAAAUAUUAUAUGGGCUCCAAGUUUACAACCCAACAAGCAGGGUCAACUACAUUUCAGGCAAUGAAUAUAAUGCCUUAAAUAAAUAUUAGAUAGGUGAUUUGGUUUAAUAAUUAAUGGAGUGAAUAAGCUAUUUACAAAAUUAUAGGGAAGUCGCGAUUAAUCAAAUUUUUAUAAUAAUGUGUACAAUGAGAAAAACAUAGAAAUUGUUGGGUGACUAUGAAUUAGUGGGAAGUUGAAUAAUUUAUUAUGUGAAUAAUUUAGAGUUUAAAUGUUGUGAUCCAUCUUUUAAUAUUCUAGAUAAAUUAAGAUAUUUUAAAAGUUGAUGAGUUCUAGAACUUGGGAGUAAUUUACGCUUGAAUAAGUAUGAAAUUAAGACUCCCCACAAGAAUAGAAUGAGGAUGAAUUAAGUAGAAAUGUCAAGGUAUUAUAUGAUAUAAAAUAUCAUAGAGAAUACCUAGGAUUAACAGUAAAGAUUUUUUGUAUCAUUGAAAAGUGAAUAUAUAUGCAGUUCAGGAUCAGUAUGGAAUAAUUAUGAACUCUAUCUCAUUGACCAUUUAUUGACUAUAACUAUGACUGUGUCCUUAGGUGACGAUGUGAAUCGUAAAUAUGACUGUAACUAUGAUUGUGUCCUUAUAAGACGAUGUAAAUUAUAACUAUGACGGUAACUAUGGCUAACUCCUUAGGGACGAUAUUAAUAGUAACUAUGACUAUAACUAUGACGGUGUCCUUGGGGGAUGAUUUGAAUCAUAACUAUGGUUGUAACUAUGAUUUGUGGGAGCUAUGAUUUUGUCCAUGUUGAUAGUGUGAAGGGGACGAUGUGAAUCAUAACUAUGGCUGUAACUAUGACUUAUAGGAGCUAUGAUUUUGUCCAUGUUGAUAGUGUGAAUUAUCAUCUCCUUCCAUGAUUGUGACUGAAUGAUAUUAUGUGAUACGAUAAUGAGUCUAUGUGCAUAUGUGAUUGGUUGUGUUGGUGAAUGAUGAGAAUAUGUUGUUAUGUGAAUAUGUAUAUUAGAUAGGGUAUUCUACACAUUUAAGGAAGGAUAUCAUAUGUGUGUGAAUAUACGUUAAAGAAAAGAUAUUAGAUGUGUGAUAUGUGUUUAAAAAAUUUUAUUCUACGUGUGGAUAAGAAUUUAAAAAAUGGUAUUCUAUGUGUAAGCAUGUGUAAUUAAUAUGAACACGAUAUCGCGUUUAUGAAAUUAUGAAUAAACCAAAAGUAACUUAUGAGAAUGUAGUUAUGUAAAUUAUGGACAUCCUUUAAAUGAAAUGAGGUAUAUAAAAAUGAAAACAUGUGAAUAGUAAGAUCGAUAUAGUUGUAGUAGGGUGUGGAUAUCAGAUGGUGAUGAAGGGCCUGAUAAGCUUGAGGUAAAGGUAAUGGUUCGAAUCGGUAUAUUAUCUAUGAUCUUCGGAUUGAAGUUUUAAAUUAUUCUUAUUGAGCAAGUGGUGGCUUACUCUUUUUUAUCAAUUUCAUAGCAGAAAGACCAAGACCAAGUUCAUGGUCAAGGAAGACUUAGAAGAAUCCUUUUAUGAAAAUGGGAAAUUAUUUGUAAAGUAGAUCUAAAAAUUUACUUUAGAAACGUCAUUAAAUAUUUUAUGAACCUCAUGAACUGUAACUUUGAGCAAGGGAUGUACAGGUCAGUUUUAGAUUUUAGCAUAUUGAUGCACUAUUUAUUAAGUUUUAUACGUGUUGUAGCAUUCAUUUCUUAGAUGAGAAAUCAGGUUGUUACAGUUGGUAUCAGAGCCCACGUUCCUCAAAAACAUCCCUUUGUAUCAUGAGUUCUAGGACUCCUAUAAGGUUUAAGACUAAAAGAAAAUAGGUAAUAUGUGUCUUUGGAGAUGUUUUAGAACUUCCUUCGAAACAUCUGGGAAUGUGAGAAAGGAAAAUCAUAAUUUCAAAAGUUCGAAGAGAUGGGAGUUGCAUGGGUUUGAAGUAUGAUAAGGCUAGGAAAUGAAACGUUAGGGCCUCACUCUAAAGCCAACUAGGGAUGGUGAAUAAGCAACAACCAUAAUCAACCACAGAAUAUGAAACCAUAGGAAGCUUAAAUGUAACGAAGAAAAUUACACAAUAGGAGAAAAUGAAUAAAGAAAAUUUUGGGAAGAGAACUAAUUUCCCUUAAGUUGGGAAAAGAAUCUUAAAGGGGAGAAGAUCCCCAAAGUUAAAAAGAAAAGUUUCCCCAAGUUGAAGAAAUUCCCCCAACAAAAAAAAUAUCUCCUAAGUAGUUAUGCCUUGGAAGGAACUCCUCUAGGUCACGAGAGACAUAAAAAAGGAAAAAAAAAGGGGAAAGAGAAUGUUAGGUGACCAAAUAAAUAUUAAGACCUUGAUGGUCUUUGGAAAUUCUUCAUGAAUAUUCUCUGGGAAGAAUGGAUACGCUACAUGUUCAAACUCUUUCCAAGUUUCCACAUAGGGAUUACAAAAUUGAUUCAAGAUUCUUAGUCAUUAAACAAUCAUAUGCUUAACGGAUAAAAGCAUUUUGGGAGAUUGAGUAAAUCAUGAGCUUGGUG
rnacentral:lncRNA from 1 species